rnacentral:rRNA from 1 species
AUUGAACGCUGGCGGCAGGCUUAACACAUGCAAGUCGAGCGGGGUGAUGGUGCUUGCACUAUCACUUAGCGGCGGACGGGUGAGUAAUGCUUAGGAAUGUGCCUAUUAGUGGGGGACGAGAUCUCGAAUGGGAUGCUAAUACCGCAUACGUCCUACGGGAGAAAGCAGGGGAUCACUUGUGACAUUGCGCUAAUAGAUGGGCCUAAGUCGGCUUAGCUAGGUGGUGGGGUAAAGGCCUACCAAGGCGAGGAGCUGUAGCGGGUCUGAGAGGAUGAUCCGCCACACUGGGACUGAGACACGGCCCAGACUCCUACGGGAGGCAGCAGUGGGGAAUAUUGGACAAUGGGGGGAACCCUGAUCCAGCCAUGCCGCGUGUGUGAAGAAGGCCUUAUGGUUGUAAAGCACUUUAAGCGAGGAGGAGGCUCUUUUGGUUAAUACCCAGGAUGAGUGGACGUUACUCGCAGAAUAAGCACCGGCUAACUCUGUGCCAGCCGCCGCGGUAAAAC